CUUCUUGCCAUCCAGGGAACUUUCCGAWSAUGGAUUGGDGCCUUCGGGAACUCUGAGACAGGGGCUGCAUGGCUGUCGUCAGCUCGUGUUGUGAAAUGUUGGGUUAAGUCCCGCAACGAGCGCAACCCUUAUCCUUGUUUGCCAGCAVUUCDGGUGGGAACUCCAGGGAGACUGCCGGUGAUAAACCGGAGGAAGGUGGGGACGACGUCAAGUCAUCAUGGCCCUUACGAGUAGGGCUACACACGUGCUACAAUGGCGCAUACAGAGGGCGGCCAACUUGCGAGAGUGAGCGAAUCCCAAAAAGUGCGUCGUAGUCCGGAUCGGAGUCUGCAACUCGACUCCGUGAAGUCGGAAUCGCUAGUAAUCGGGAUCARAAUGGCCUGGKGAAWACCUUUCC
rnacentral:rRNA from 1 species